rnacentral:sRNA from 7 species
GAAGCUUCGACCAAGGUUCGAUUCGAGCGCAGCGAGAAAGCGUUGCCGCAGGCAACGACCCGAAGGGCGAAGCGCGCAGCGCUGAGUCAUCCUUCCCCCACCACCA